GACGAACGCUGGCGGCGUGCUUAACACAUGCAAGUCGAACGGAAAGGCCUCAGCUUGCUGGGGUACUCGAGUGGCGAACGGGUGAGUAACACGUGGGUGAUCUGCCUUGCACUCUGGGAUAAGCUUGGGAAACUGGGUCUAAUACCGGAUAUGAACUGCCUUUAGUGUGGUGGUUGGAAAGUUUUUUCGGUGCAAGAUGAGCUCGCGGCCUAUCAGCUUGUUGGUGGGGUAAUGGCCUACCAAGGCGUCGACGGGUAGCCGGCCUGAGAGGGUGUACGGCCACAUUGGGACUGAGAUACGGCCCAGACGCCUACGGGAGGCAGCAGGGGGGAAUAUUGCACAAUGGGCGGAAGCCUGAUGCAGCGACGCCGCGUGGGGGAUGACGGCCUUCGGGUUGUAAACUCCUUUCGACAGGGACGAAGCUUUUUGUGACGGUACCUGUAUAAGAAGCACCGGCUAACUACGUG
rnacentral:rRNA from 1 species